AGAGUUUGAUCCUGGCUCAGGAUGAACGCUGGCGGCGUGUCUAAGGCAUGCAAGUCGAGUGGGUUUAGGCCCACGGCAAACGGGUUAGUAAUGCAUAGGAAUUUUCCCUGAAGUCGUGAAUAAUCUGGAGAAAUCCAGGAUAAUACACGAUGUGCUCUACGGAGUAAAGAUUUAUCGCUUCAGGAGAAGCCUAUGUCCUAUCAGCUUGUUGGUAGGGUAACGGCCUACCAAGGCAUUGACGGGUAUCAGGCGUGAGAGCGCGACCUGACUCAGUGGGACUGCGACACUGCCCACACUCCUACGGGAGGCUGCAGUCAAGAAUAUUCCUCAAUGGACGAAAGUCUGAAGGAGCGACGCCGCGUGUAGGAUGAAGGUCUUCGGAUUGUAAACUACUUUUAUCAGGGACGAAUUUGUGACGGUACCUGGUGAAUAAGAGGUUGCUAACUCUGUGCCAGCAGCCGCGGUA
rnacentral:rRNA from 1 species